rnacentral:tRNA from 1 species
GGGCCUGUGGCGCAACGGAUUACGCAGUCUGACUACGGAUCAGAAGAUUCCAGGUUCGAAUCCUGGCAGGCUCG